rnacentral:rRNA from 1 species
UACGUAGGGUGCAAGCGUUAAUCGGAAUUACUGGGCGUAAAGCGUGCGCAGGCGGUAAUGCAAGACAGAUGUGAAAUCCCCGGGCUUAACCUGGGAACUGCAUUUGUGACUGCAUUGCUGGAGUGCGGCAGAGGGGGGAUGGAAUUCCGCGUGUAGCAGUGAAAUGCGUAGAUAUGCGGAGGAACACCGAUGGCGAAGGCAAUCCCUGGGCCUGCACUGACGCUCAUGCACGAAAGCGUGGGGAG